GGAGUUAGCCGGUGCUUCUUCUGUGAGUGAUGUCCUUCCUGCCGGCUAUUAACCCGCAGGCCUUCUUCCUCACUGAAAGUGCUUUACAACCCGAAGGCCUUCUUCACACACGCGGCAUGGCUGGAUCAGGGUUGCCCCCAUUGUCCAAUAUUCCCCACUGCUGCCUCCCGUAGGAGUCUGGGCCGUGUCUCAGUCCCAGUGUGGCUGAUCAUCCUCUCAGACCAGCUACGGAUCGUCGCCUUGGUGAGCCGUUACCUCACCAACCAGCUAAUCCGACAUAGGCUCAUCCGAUAGCGCGAGGCCCGAAGGUCCCCCGCUUUCCCCCGUAGGGCGUAUGCGGUAUUAGCCUGGGUUUCCCCAGGUUAUCCCCCACUACCGGGCAGAUUCCUAUGCAUUACUCACCCGUCCGCCGCUCGCCACCAGGGAGCAAGCUCCCCGUGCUGCCGCUCGACUUGCAUGUGUUAGGCCUGCCGCCAGCGUUCAAUCUGAGCCAUANCAACAACUCGACUCGAGACGGGCGGUCGUCGACGACGGCGACUAG
rnacentral:rRNA from 1 species